rnacentral:rRNA from 1 species
UACGUAGGGUGCGAGCGUUAAUCGGAAUUACUGGGCGUAAAGGGCGCGUAGGCGGAUGUUUAAGUCAGAGGUGAAAGCCCAGGGCUCAACCUUGGAACUGCCUUUGAUACUGGACAUCUUGAGUAUGGGAGAGGUGAGUGGAACUCCGAGUGUAGAGGUGAAAUUCGUAGAUAUUCGGAAGAACACCAGUGGCGAAGGCGACUCACUGGCCCAUUACUGACGCUGAGGCGCGAAAGCGUGGGGAGCAAACAGG